GGUCCCGGCCACCCGCCUGGGUUGUCCCUCGGCUGGGGGAGCAGAUAAAGGCAGGGCCACGGCAAGGAGGGGAGGAGGUGGCGGGAAGCAGCGUGGAGCCGGGCGGGCGCCCCUUCCUCACCGGCGGGCAUCGGCCUGCCUUGAGCCCUUCUCGGAGGGCAGCGGGACGGCCGCUAUGGGGUCCGGAGGCCGGUUGGGGCUGGCGGCAGUACUGGCGGCCGCCGUGCUGUGCGGGCCCGGAGGGCUCGCCGGGCGGGUCCUCAGCGGUCAAAAGGUGUGUUAUGGUGACUUCAAGCGUUCUUGUUACAAGUUAGCUUAUUUCCAGGACUUGUCUAGACGUGUGGGCUUUCAGGAGGCCCGACAAGCUUGUGAAUUUGAUGGUGGGUCUUUACUGAGCUUGGAAAGUGAAGCUGAACAGCAACUAAUAGAAAACAUGUUGCAAAACCUCACUAAAUCAGGCGCUGGGAUUUCUGAUGGUGAUUUCUGGAUUGGGUUGUGGAGAAGCAGUGAUGGACUAGCUACCUCAAGUGCCUGCCCUGACCUCUACCAGUGGGCUGAUGGAAGUAUUUCACCAUUCAGAAAUUGGUAUACAGAUGAACCUUCCUGUGGAAGUGAAGCCUGUGUUGUGAUGUAUCAUCAGCCAACUGCAAACCCUGGUCUGGGAGGGCCAUAUCUUUAUCAAUGGAAUGAUGAUAGAUGUAACAUGAAGCACAAUUUUAUCUGCAAGUAUGCUCCUGAUAUUGUGUUAGAAAAAGAGUUAAGAGACAGAGCGGAGCCAGAUUACGAUAUUUUUCCAACAGUGCCAGCAGGAAAUCCUUAUCACACAAGCAAACCAGAAGAUCAGUAUCAUGUUAUUGCUACUGAAACAGGUAUAAUUCCGAAUCUAAUUUAUGUUGUAAUACCCACUAUACCACUACUGCUAUUGAUACUGGUGGCUUUUGGGACUUGCUGUUUCCAGAUGCUUCAUAAAAGGCUUCCACAACAUGGUGACCUUUCCUCUGAAAGCCACAAUCCAUGGCCAACCAGGACAUGCCUAGCUUGAAAGGUCAUGACUAAUUUUGCCUAGCAUUGGGCUCUUAAAGGGUAGUAGUAAGACAAAGCAAAACAUGGUCCCUGUAGCUAGCAGAAAUGAUCAGCUCAUUCAUUCUUAGAUGCUCUCCCUUUCAUUUCUUCCAGGGAAGCAAGGAGAAACUGCUUCAAAGACCCAUCUCCAUUAUCAUCUGAAUGCCUUGCAGAAAGUUUAAAUUCCAACCUGUAAAGGAAGAACAAAAACCAGUCCAAACCAGUCCACACUGUGGAUUUCAAAGACGCCUAGGAAGGACAGUAGCAUGGAGGUAUAAUGACUUACUGACUGAAAACAAAGCAAAAAUAACAUUCUGCAGUCGGGCUGUAUUAUGUUGUCAAAGAACAUUAGCUUGGAAUGGCUUGAAAAUGCAAAGGAUCUACAAGAAUGAACUGUAAGCUCCCCCUUGAGGCAAAUGUUCAGAUCAUUUUUAUAUAAUGUUUGAUUAUUAAUUCAGUAACAAAAUAUGCCGUGCUAAAUAAAGGGUAUGUGUUUAUUUUGCUAAGAGAUGUAAGUUAGCUAGUUGUGAGCAAUGAAAUGAACAGAGUGUUUGAAGUUUUUAUGAGGAAAUAGCUACAAUGUAUAUCAGUUUUAAGACUGUUUGUAGUUAAACAAACUCUCUUUGUUUCCUUUAGUCUUUCAUGCAUUGUAACCUAGUUGAUGUACUGUAAAUGGAACUGACAAUUUUACAGUGUAACAAUUAUUUAUCUUUGCAUAAAUGUUUGAUACAAAAUA